rnacentral:rRNA from 1 species
UACAGAGGGGGCAAGCGUUGUUCGGAAUUACUGGGCGUAAAGGGCGCGUAGGCGGCCUUCUAAGUCGAACGUGAAAUCCCCGGGCUCAACCCGGGAACUGCGUCCGAGACUGGAAGGCUUGAAUCCGGGAGAGGGAUGUGGAAUUCCAGGUGUAGCGGUGAAAUGCGUAGAUAUCUGGAGGAACACCGGUGGCGAAGGCGACAUCCUGGACCGGUAUUGACGCUGAGGCGCGAAAGCCAGGGGAGCAAACAGG